UCCCUGGUGGUCCAGUGGCUAAGACUCCAUACUCCCAAAUCAGUGGGCCCAGGUUCCAUCCCUGGUCAGGGAA
rnacentral:tRNA from 1 species